rnacentral:rRNA from 1 species
AGAGUUUGAUCCUGGCUCAGAACGUACGCUGGCGGCACGCCUAAUACAUGCAAGUCGAACGAAGUAGCAAUACUUAGUGGCAGACGGGUGAGUAACAUGUAGGUAUCUACCCUUUGGCCUGGAAUAACACGAGGAAACUUGUGCUAAUACCGGAUAAGUCUUUACGGAGAAAGCUUUAUGCACCAUUGGAUGAGCCUGCACUUGAUUAGUUUGUUGGUGGGGUAAUGGCCUACCAAGACAAUGAUCAAUAGCUGAUUUGAGAGGAUGAUCAGCCACAUUGGGACUGAGACACGGCCCAAACUCCUACGGGAGGCAGCAGUAGGGAAUCUUGCACAAUGGAGGAAACUCUGAUGCAGCGAUGCCGCGUGAGUGAAGAAGGCCUUUGGGUUGUAAAGCUCUUUCGUCGGGGAAGAAAAUGACUGUACCCGAAUAAGAAGGUCCGGCUAACUUCGUGCCAGCAGCCGCGGUAAUACGAAGGGACCUAGCGUAGUUCGGAAUUACUGGGCUUAAAGAGUUCGUAGGUGGUUAAAAAAGUUGGUGGUGAAAUCCCAGAGCUUAACUCUGGAACUGCCAUCAAAACUUUUUAGCUAGAGUAUGAUAGAGGAAAGCGGAAUUUCUAGUGUAGAGGUGAAAUUCGUAGAUAUUAGAAAGAAUACCGAUUGCGAAGGCAGCUUUCUGGAUCAUUACUGACACUGAGGAACGAAAGCAUGGGUAGCGAAGAGGAUUAGAUACCCUCGUAGUCCAUGCCGUAAACGAUGUGUGUUAGACGUUGGAAAUUUAUUUUCAGUGUCGCAGCGAAAGCAAUAAACACACCGCCUGGGGAGUACGACCGCAAGGUUAAAACUCAAAUGAAUUGACGGGGACCCGCACAAGUAGUGGAGCAUGUGGUUUAAUUCGAAGAUACGCGCAGAACCUUACCAACACUUGACAUGUUCGUCGCGACUCUAAGAGAUUAGAGUUUUCGGUUCGGCCGGACGAAACACAGGUGCUGCAUGGCUGUCGUCAGCUCGUGUCGUGAGAUGUUGGGUUAAGUCCCGCAACGAGCGCAACCCUUACUUUUAGUUGCCAUCAUUUAGUUGGGCACUCUGAAAGAACUGCCAGUGAUAAGCUGGAGGAAGGUGGGGAUGACGUCAAGUCCUCAUGGCCCUUAUGUGUUGGGCUACACACGUGCUACAAUGGUAUCUACAACAGGAAGCAAGAUGGCAACGUUAAGCAAAUCCCAAAAAGAUACCUCAGUUCGGAUUGCACUCUGCAACUCGAGUGCAUGAAGCUGGAAUUACUAGUAAUCGUGGAUCAGCGUGCCACGGUGAAUACGUUCCCGGGUCUUGUACACACCGCCCGUCACACCAUGGGAGUUGGUUCUACCUUAAGGCAAAGUUUAAAACCUUUGACCACGGUAUAGUCAGCGACUGGGGUGAAGUCGUAACAAGGUAACC